AAUGUCGGCCGUAACUAUAACGGUCCUAAGGUAGCGAAAUUCCUUGUCGGGUAAGUUCCGACCUGCACGAAUGGUGUAACGAUCUGGGUACUGUCUCGGCCAUGAGCUCGGUGAAAUUGUAGUCGCGGUGAAGAUGCCGCGUACCCGCAACGGGACGAAAAGACCCCAUGAACCUUUACUAUAGCUUCACAUUGGUAUUGGGUAAAUGAUGUGUAGGAUAGGCGGGAGACUUUGAACCUGCGUCGCUAGGCGUGGGGGAUUCGUUGGUGAAAUACCGCCCUUUAUUUAUCUGAUGCCUAAUCCAGCAAUGGAGACAGUGUGUGGUGGGUAGUUUGACUGGGGUGGUCGCCUCCAAAAGAGUAACGGAGGCUCCUAAAG
rnacentral:rRNA from 1 species